rnacentral:lncRNA from 1 species
CUAUAGUGAGAGACAUGUUUUAGAGGAGCUGAGGGUGGGAUUUCUCACAGCGUCCCUAAAUUUUCAGUUCCUUUCCAUGGAUCUCUUUGGAAUGCUUUGCUGGGAGGUUGUUUACUUUUCCUUGUUUGGUUACUCCUGGUAAAUUUUUUUUACAGGCCUUUGCCAUUUUUGUUAACAAGGUACUUAGGAGGGUUCUGCUUUACCUUGUUAUCUUUACCUAGGAUUUGAAUGUUUUAAAAUCAAUGAUUUUAAGAAUUCUGUUCAUUUAUUUUACUCACAGACCUUCUGUUUCUUACUGUCCACUUUCAUUAAGUAGCUUGUUUGAGGUAGUCAGAAAAGUGGAUGUUCAGGGGGAUACUUGGUUUCCUUUUUUGGGAGGGGGGUACUGGGGAUCGAACUCAGGACCUUGUGCUUGCGAGGCAGGUGUGGUGCCACUGAGCUAAAUCCCCCGCCUUGGUUUCCUUUUUUGGACCGAAACAAUGGCUGUUCGCUUUUGUUUUUUUACAGGACCUGUACAUCGACCGCCCCUUGCCCUACCUCAUUGGCUCCAAACUCUUCAUGGAGCAGGAAGAUGUAGGGCUUGGAGAGCUCUCUAGUAAAGAAGGCUCCGUGGGCAGUGAUCGGGGGAGCAUUGUGGACAGUGAUGCAGAGAAAGAGGAGGAGGAGUCAGAAAAUGAUUUUGCCAAUCAGAGUGACAAUGAUCAAAACCAGCACACCACACAGAUGAGCAAUGAAGAAGAGGAUGAUGAUGCUGACCUCUUCGCUGACUCUGAGGAGGAGGAUAUUGAGGACGUUGACAAAGAUACUAAGCCAAAAAAGCCCAUGUCUUUCGCUGAUGAGUUGGCAGCUCAAAUCAAAGGGGAUGGAAGCCGUCUUGGAGAGGAACAGGCAGGUGAGCUGGGACAAGGUAACAAGUCAUCCGUGCAGUACAGGAGCCCCUGCUGGCCCCACUGGGCUGGGGUUCUCCUCAUUCCUAAAGUGCAGAGGCACAGGCACUCUGACACCAGGA